GAUUAAGCCAUGCAUGUGUAAGUAUAAAUAAUUUUACUUUGAAACUGCGAAUGGCUCAUUAUAUCAGUUAUAGUUUAUUAGAAAUAUUUUACUACUUGGAUAACCGUAGUAAUUCUAGGGCUAAUACAUGARUAAAWCCUCAACUUCGGAAGAGGUGUGUUUAUUAGUAUGAAAACCAUAUAUCUUCGGAUAUAAUAGUGAGUAAUAAUAACCUUUCAUAUCGUAUGUCGUAAGAUAACGAUAGUUCUUUCAAGUUUCUGCCCUAUCAGCUUUCGAUGGUAGUAUAUGGGACUACCAUG
rnacentral:rRNA from 1 species